AGUCCGAGCGACGUGUCCGGAGCUUGCUGGGCUGGUGUCGGUCCUGCUCGCGCAACCGAGCCCGGAGCACUGCGCGCGAGUCAGCCGCUCGUAAAUGAGAAGAUCUGAGACAGUUUCCGCACUCAAGUAUUUCAGCCUCUGGGGCCGUCCCGGCUGGAUGUGGAUUCCUGGAGGUGGAUGCACCAGUCCCGGGUCUGGAACGCCGGGCCAAAGCUGUGCCUCUGCUCCGGUAACCUGCGGAGACACCCGCUUCGGAGCCCGCUGCUGCCACCUGCGGGUGGAAAGCUGAAGAACAGCGAAGCAGGCUGGUCCAGGAAAUGAAGGUGUGGUGUAGAGAUCCGCUGAGGUACUGAGUCUUUGGGAUGAAGGAAAGAGAAUGGUUUAAGAAACUUGAAUAGCAAUUGUCUUCCCACAUCCCCUUGAGGAGAUUAAGACUGUUGAAAGCACAUAAAGCAAAGAGCUUUCCCUAGCAAAUGAAAUUUGGCCCUACUGAGAAAAUAGUAUUGUGUAGGAUAAUUUUAUGCUUGGAACUACAAAUAAGGAUCCCAAAUGAUUGUUUCCUUUGAAUAAAUAUGACAUCAGAAUGACGAAAUAAAUUGAAUAGGGCAUAGGGACCCUGGUCCCAGAAGCCUGGAACUGAUUUGUCAGUUGUAGACAGCCAAAAAGAUAUUUGAUUUGUUAUAUUUAUAGCAUAUGAAUAUUUUGUUACUAUACUGAAAUGCCUACUUUUAAUUACCCUAC